UUUGUUAAUAAAUGAACGAAUUCAAAAUUAUUUGUUAUCUUUAAUCCAAAAAAUCCUGAAAUAGCUAUGACUCUAAUCAAAUAAGAAAUAAUAAAAAACCAUAUUACAUAAUCUAUAGGCAACUAGGAUUUUGAUUUUGGCGAUUUACAGUCUGAUCCAAAAAGAUUUAAAUAAGAGGUAAAUCAUGUAUAAAACUAACAGCAAGUUAUGUGGAUCUAGAGGUCUUAAAAAUGGAAAACAAAGCAUGAUUCUCAUUCUAGUACAAAAACUCAUUUAACUUGUAAAUAACUGUUAAAAAACUGACCAUGUUCAUACCCAGCUAAUAACUCAAUUUAAACUAAAAUUUGCCGCUAAUAGGGAAUAUAUGAAAAGUCUAAUUAACAUAACAAUUUAUUGAGUAUCCAAAGAAUGGCCUGACACAAUAAAAAUAAUUCAUCAUUAAAUCAACGUAGGGAACUAAUUUAAGCAAUCUUAUCACCUAAUAAUAAUUUUCUGAAAUAUUCAACAAAGAAACAAAUCACACUAGUCAUCAUAUUCAAAAUUAAAUAAUUGAAAUGUGUGCAAAUAGAAUAAGAGAUUCAAUUGUAGAAGAAAUUAGUAAACAGACUUUUAAUAUAAUGUUUGAUGAAGAAAGGUAAUAAAUUUUAAAAUGAGCAUUAAUAAAAGAAAUAUACAAUUAAUAAAC